rnacentral:lncRNA from 1 species
CCUCUCUGGGUGGCUUGGCCCUCCUCACAGCAUGGCAAGCCAGGCUCCAGAGAAGCAUCCUGAGGACCAGUGUUCCUAGGGACCUCAUUCUUCUGACCUCAUUCCUACAACGUUUUGUCACUGCAAAGGAAAUCACCAAGGCCAGCUUCAAGGACCACAGAGGGCCAAGUGCAGGAGUAAGAGGCUGGCGUGCUGACAGUGGCCAAGGGCAUUGGAGGGAAGGACCUGUCAUCACUGGGCCAAGGAAGGAACUCCAGACUGCCUACUUCCAGAGGGCCUGCUGAGGAAUUUUAGCUUGAACUUGCCUGCCUUGACUAGGGCUUUCUGAGCAGCAGAUGAUUCUGCAAUGGUGUUAGUCCAGGCCUGGUUCUGCAUGACAUUGACCAUACUGUGCACCCUGGGGUCAUUAUGUCUUGGGCUUCAAGGGGCUCCAUGGGCUCCAGGGGGCUCCAUGUGACACUGCACAGAGCUCUCUCUAGGUCACCUGGAUGUGUCUCUUCCUAGGAACCCCAAAGAGCUCUCUCAACAAACACACCCACGAGUUCCAGGAGUGAGGCUGCAGGGAACAGCCUCACUCUCAGAGGGGAUACAGAAUUGUUCCACUGGACAAGGGCUGGGAUCGUCAUAGGAUGCCGUUGGCCUGUGGUUUCCAACAGAGGUGCAGUUCAUUGAACUGUGGUCUACAGUCCAUUCUCUAACUUGGGGACCCUUGAAGAAGUGUGGAAUCAUGACAACAACCCUGUUGGGAGACACUAUUAUUCCCAUCACAUGGAUGAGCACACGGAGGCAAAAGGAAGUUAUAUGAUUGUCUGAGAUCACCCAGUGAAGACUGUGUGGCUGGGAGUUGUCCCCAGUGUUAUCUGCACGCUGCUUCCUUUUGAUGCCUGGCCCUUCUUUAUCAAAAGAAGCAUUGGCAGAAUCUGGGUGUUUAUGGGUCAGCUCAAAAUAAAUUACUUUAUAUGUCAUUCAUAUUGUUCUUCAUUUCCUGGACAGUAGAAGUCCCCUCCACACCCACUUUCUGUUGUUAGAAGGGGCUUGUCUCAUUGUGAAGAGGUCUUUUCCUCCCGGCUUCCUGGGCUGAUGUAAAUACCCAGAAGAGAACUCCUCCCUUGUCUGGCAGACCAUUGAGGGUGGGAGAGUCGGGUCUGGACCCUGGCGGGUACAGUGGGAUAGAGAGUGGCAGCUGUGAGGCCUUGUCCUCUUCCUGGAGAUGCUUCUUGUGUAGGCCUGGCUUCCAGGGGGCCAGGUGCUGCAGGCCGAAGGCGGAGCUGCCUUGAGCCCCCAGACCAGGCUGAGUCUGCUCUGAGCUGAGUCUAUGCCAUUCAG